UGUAUUCACUACUGUAAGUCACUCUGGAUAAGAGCGUCUGCUAAAUUACUAAAA
rfam:Salmo salar isolate Sally breed double haploid chromosome ssa05, whole genome shotgun sequence.